rnacentral:lncRNA from 1 species
GGGUUCUUCAGGAAAUGAAGUCUCUUGCUUCAGGGAUUGAGCAGAAGACUCUUUCUAGUUUGAUUGGGCAAAUUUUAAUCUGAUUGAUUAUAUUGAAAAUCUCUUGUGCUACAAGGGGACUUGACUACUCUCGAUUUGAGAGGAACUAGGAUAUAUUGUGUGUCUCUUAAUUUAAUUUUGCAUUUAUAUUCUGAUAUGCAACAAACUCUAA